CUCCCUAUAGCUCAGUGGUAGAGCAUUUGACUGUAGAAUAGGCUGUAAUCGAAGGGCCGCUGGUUCAACUCCGGCUGGGGAGA
rnacentral:tRNA from 1 species